AGAGUUUGAUCCUGGCUCAGAUUGAACGCUGGCGGCAUGCCUUACACAUGCAAGUCGAACGCGAAAGGGGGGCAACCCCCGAGUAGAGUGGCGAACGGGUGAGUAAUACAUCGGAACGUACCCAGUAGCGGGGGAUAACCUCUCGAAAGAGAGGCUAAUACCGCAUACGACCUACGGGUGAAAGAGGGGGAUCGCAAGACCUCUCACUAUUGGAGCGGCCGAUGUCGGAUUAGCUAGUUGGUGGGGUAAUGGCCUACCAAGGCAACGAUCCGUAGCUGGUCUGAGAGGACGGCCAGCCACACUGGAACUGAGACACGGUCCAGACUCCUACGGGAGGCAGCAGUGGGGAAUUUUGGACAAUGGGCGCAAGCCUGAUCCAGCCAUGCCGCGUGAGUGAAGAAGGCCUUCGGGUUGUAAAGCUCUUUCGGCUGGGACGAAAAGGUCCGUGCUAACACCACGGAUCCAUGACGGUACCAGCAGAAGAAGCACCGGCUAACUACGUGCCAGCAGCCGCGGUAAUACGUAGGGUGCAGGCGUUAAUCGGAAUUACUGGGCGUAAAGCGUGCGCAGGCGGUCUCUUAAGACAGGUGUGAAAUCCCCGGGCUUAACCUGGGAACUGCGCUUGUAACUGAGAGGCUAGAGUGUGGCAGAGGGGGGUGGAAUUCCACGUGUAGCAGUGAAAUGCGUAGAGAUGUGGAGGAACACCGAUGGCGAAGGCAGCCCCCUGGGCUAACACUGACGCUCAUGCACGAAAGCGUGGGGAGCAAACAGGAUUAGAUACCCCGGUAGUCC
rnacentral:rRNA from 1 species